GGGUCAGAGACAUUCUCAGGUCUACUGGUGGCAAUCUGCCUGGCUAGCCUGCAUAUAGCACUCAGCUAGAGUGUGCACCUUCUACAACUGCCCCACCCCUCCAAAACAUCCCCCCGAGAGGGUGACUAGGCUUGGAAACUGCCUCCCAUUGGCUUACGGGCCAGAGGUUCCUCACCCCUGCUCUACGCUGUAAAGGAGAUGAAUUUCCCACACUUGCUGUGCUUUGGAUGAGUUCCUGGGACACCAGGAGAAGAUGGAAGAGGCAUUCCUCGGAAGCAGGUGAGUAGCCCUUUCUCUAUGACUGAUAGUUAUCUGUUUGGGGCUGCCAGAUGGAAAUCCAGAGACUUUGCCUAUCAGCUCAAGAGGUCUCGUCAGACCCAUUAAGCAACAUACCAACCACACCAUGUAGUUUGCAGAAUACUCCAGCCAGUCCUUAUAGGAUAAUAGCAGAGAGAAGGGGAAGGACACCUAGGAGGCAUCCAGCCUUGAGCAGAGGAUUCAUGAGGGUUGACCUGCUGGAGCUCGAAUAUUUGCUCUUUAGUUUGUACAUAAUCAAUGGAUCGAAGAGAAAAACCAAACUGCCACAGCUUCUCUGGAUUAGUCUUGCCCCCAUCUCCUUUUAGUCUGUCUCCCCUGCCUCCUGAUUGUGAGGCUUCCCUGAAGUCAUCCUUCUCACAGCAGCCAAAGGAGCCGUCAACAGAAGUGCGGAUGGCAUAAAUCAGCAGGAGAAGCUGUGGCUGCCAACCCCCGGCAGAACUGGAUUCCCAGAUUUGUUUCAAUGAUACUCCAUUGUUUCCCCCCUCCCUCCCUGGUCGUGGUUGCAUCUGGGAAAUGACAAAGAUGGGCUGCCAAUUUCCUGUUAAAUAAUGUUAAAUAUUCCUGUUAAAUAAUGAAAAUAAUAGUCUGGAAAGACCCUCAAACAAAGCUAACAAACAUAAAGGGGGUGCACAGCAAUGUGUGAGUGUUUAUCAGGCUUUCUAGGGGUCCUCGGUGCAUUUCAUGGCAUCCCUGUCACACUUGAUGCAAGCUACUACUUAACAUUCUUCCAAUGUGCUUAAUAGAGAGGUAAAGAGGUCAGCUCUCUCCAAUGGCUGCUUGCAUCUCUAUCCGCAUGAGCCUCCUCUCCCACUAUGGCCUGUAAAUGUGCAGUUAAUCAAGAAACUCUCCAUGCGAUUUGUUUGUGCUGAAGAUGGAAUGAUCUGUUGCUGUGUGCACAGGCUAUGCACCCUCCCCCUCCAUCAUGUGUUGGGUAUGGCAGGGACGGGCAUGAGACAUCCGUCAACUGAGAGGCCUUUUACUGUGAAGAAGAAAGGAACAAGUAUUGGCUGGGUAGGGAGUUUGGUUCUCCAGCCCAGGGAUGUAUUAAAAUAAAUGGCAGAGAACGGCCAUUGGGAUGCAUUGCUUUUAUUUAAUAUGUUCCUUUCAACCCAUAUGAGUCUGGCACCCCUAAACCUAACGGCUCCGACGGCUAUGAUUGGAAAAUCCAUUUAUUCAUUCCAUUGACGGACAGGCACUGACACUUUGGCUGGAGUGAAGCAGUGUUUUAAUUUGGUGCCUUUUGCUGUUGUGCUGCUUUUGGCAACGGCUGCUCACACCCGGCAGCUCCCACCUCUCCCAAGUGCACUGGACCACUUCUGAAAGCUGUGUCUCAGUGAAAGACAACCCACUGAAAAGGAGGACUCAGGAAGACAAUCUUGCAAUUCUUCCUGACUAGCUGCUUUGUGGCCCUGGCUUCAAUUCAAGCUAGGACUGCAAGGGGCAACUCAGGAGCUAAGUGCACUCCCGAUUCUUCUUUUGACAUUUCAGUCACCUGACAUUGCAGGAUGUCAUGUGACUGUCAGGUGGAAUGUUCUGCCCCCUUGCCAAAGUUGCCUUCUUCUGAAUCUGCCCCUUUGGCCAGAUCCAAUCCCCCACUCCUGCCUUAAGGUCCAGCUUUCUCUUCCCCCACCACAGUCUGCAGAAGAUGUCUGGAGAAUUCUUUCUCUUAGUGGUAUCCUUAUUUAUUAUUAUCAUCCCUGAUAAUAUCAUUGUUUGUUGUUGAUUUUAUUUAGAUUUUAUGUAUCUAUUUGCUUGAUUUGGUCUGUUUUUAACACUUUAGUGUUGGAACUUUAUUUUCUACAGGAGUUUAGGAUCCUUGGAUGGGCAGCUGUCUAUAAAUGAUUUCAGCUCACUGACGCUUAAUAUUACUCUCCUGUUCCAUUCAGUUCUCAUGGGUGCAGCUGCAGAGCAACGUAACUGAAUAAGGGAAGGGCCUAAGCUCAUUGGCAGAGACCAGGGGUUGUGCACAAAAUGUCCCAGAUUCAACCCUAGACAUUUCCGGCUGGAGCUGGAGAUUUGUUGCCAGUAAACUAGGGAGAUGGAACGAUGGUCUGACUCGGUAUAAGGCAACUUCCCGUGUUCUAAAAUUCUGGUUUUGGUGGGAGAGUUCAUGGCAGGUCUUGCUGAGCAAGCUUUGGAGAAGCUCUUGAAGCAUAAAGCCCAAAGUAUGUACCCUCUCUGAGAUACUCCUCUGUAACGGACAGGAGUGUGGAGUUCGGUGGACCAAGAGGCUUUGUUUGGUUUGGUUGCUUUCUGAUUUCUGCAGCUGCGAUCAAAGCUCGGUGUUGUUGGGAGAUCUAAUCCUCCCCCUCUAAUCCUCCAGCCUUGUAUGCUCAGGCCUGACACUUGGUCCAGCAGCAGAAGGUAAUGGGUCUGGAGGGCUGGUUAAUCAUUCCAAAACAUGCUAAGCGUGAGCAAUCAGCACAGGCUUCCCCCAGCUUAUCGCUAUUGCUAAAGUGUUGAAGGAAAAGCAACGGGGCAGGGGGAGCUCCCUGCUUCCUGUUAGUUUUUGAAGUUGCUAUCUAAAAGUCCUCCAUUAGGAAUCCAUAAAAACAGAGUUUUUGCAAGGCCGUUUGCAAAACGGGUUGGUUUUAUUAACUGGUUGGCAAAGGUCUUCCUGCAGGGAAUAGGGGAAAGAAAUAUCAAUAAUCUUUAAUGAUUGUAAAUGCUCAUUGCACUUUACAGAUAAUGUGAAGGGGGAAGAACAGAGAGGUCCUUUCUCCAAACAGCACUCAAUCUAAACUCAGGGUGGGAGAAGAGAUCAUGUCCACACCAUACAUUCAAUGCAUAUUUAAACUACAUGGCUUCUCCCCAAGAGUCCUGGCAACUGUAGUUUGUUAAGGGUGCAAUAGCCCUGUGGGGGGUGAACUACAAUUCCUACAAUGCUUUGGGGGGGGAAUAAGUACUUUAAAUGUGCAUUGAAUAUGCGUUAAAUGUAUAGUGAGAAUGGGGCCAGAAAAGGAAGAAGAAGGGAAGGCCAAUGUAAAAAGGGAGAGGAAGGGAAGGCAAAGGGUCCUCCCCUUCCUCAUUCAGUCCCCACAACGACCCCUUGAGGUGGGUUUUAGUCAUAUAUACGUUGGGCCUGUACAUCCUCCCAGUAGCACUAGCUUCCUCUGUACCUGAGAUCAAUGGUCCUGUUUAUUACAGUGUUUUGUUGCUCCUGCCCUGCUGCCUGUGCACAAGGAAUUAUGGGCCUGGUAAUUCUUGAGAGGAAAUGUCAUACAGUGGUACCUCUGGAUACAAAUGGGAUCUGUUCCGGAGCCCCAUUCGCAUCCUGAAGUGAACGCAACCCGUGUCUGCACGUGCGCGGGUCGCGAUUUGCCACUUCUGCACAUGCGCGUGAUGUCUUUUCGACUGUCUGCGCAUGUGCGAGCGACGAAACCCAGAAGUAACACGUUCCACGGAGCACAACCCGAAAGCGCUCAACCUGAAGCAACUUCAACCUGAGGUAUGACUGUAUAGGGAAGCACAAGUAUUGCUUGUUCUCAAAUUCACACUCUUUUUCAAAUGUACAAGGUGUACAGCCUCCAACAUUCCUCAGAUGAAAAUAGGGGCAUUGCUCACUCCCCGCCAACUGGCCCUUCUGUACCCCCCCCUUUUUGGGUCUUCUCCUGCAGAGCGUUUCCUAUCAGAAGAAGGGCAAGGGCCACCACUGCGGCACCAGCAGGACACAGCACACACAGCAGCAGCAGCAGCAUCAUAUUAUAAUAAUUUAUUAUUUAUACCCCACCCAUCUGGCUGGGUUUCCCCAGUCAUUCUGGGUGGCUCCCAACAGAAUAUAAAAAAUACAAUAACCCUCCACUGUCCUGAGACAACCCCUUAAUCCUGAUUAUAUUUUAUUUUAUUCUUUGGUAGAUUUACAAAAAGAAAACACACACAGAGAG